CAGUGGGGAAUAUUGGACAAUGGGCGCAAGCCUGAUCCAGCCAUGCCGCGUGAGUGAUGACGGCCUUAGGGUUGUAAAGCUCUUUCGCUCGGGACGAUAAUGACGGUACCGAGAUAAGAAGCCCCGGCUAACUUCGUGCCAGCAGCCGCGGUAAUACGAAGGGGGCUAGCGUUGUUCGGAAUUACUGGGCGUAAAGCGCGUGUAGGCGGGCUUUUAAGUCAGGGGUGAAAUGCCGAGGCUCAACCUCGGAACUGCCUUUGAUACUGGAAGUCUUGAGUCCGGGAGAGGUGAGUGGAACUGCGAGUGUAGAGGUGAAAUUCGUAGAUAUUCGCAAGAACACCAGUGGCGAAGGCGGCUCACUGGCCCGGAACUGACGCUGAGACGCGAAAGCGUGGGGAGCAAACAGGAUUAGA
rnacentral:rRNA from 1 species